ensembl:lncRNA
CUAGAAUGUUUUCAGCAGUCACUGAAAGAAAAACGGACUCAUAGAGGCUGAAAACAGUCUUCAGAUGUGAAACUUUCUCAUGAAAAGAGUGGCUGUGCCGUUUUGUGUUCCCAUGAGCAGUGAAUGAGAGUUCCUGUUGCUCCACGUGCUUGUCAACUUUUGGUGUUGUCCGUGCUUUGAAGUUUAGCCAUUCUAACAGGUCUCAAAAUCAAGAGAAGCCACAUUUAGACCUUGUGUAGGGACUAUCACAUGUUCCUGGACUUGGACCCUGGUGCCGUGAUUAGAUGAGACUUUUGGGUGCCCUCCUUUCUUCUAAAAGCGAAAAAUGAAACACACUUUGUUAAAUUGAUGAAGGAGGAAAGAAACAUUGUAUGUUGGGGAGCAGAGGACAGACGCUCUGAAACCUCCCAUGAGGUUUCCAUGGGAACCUCAACCUGGCCUGGGAGGUUAUUCAGACACUGAAGAAAACUUUUGAUGCACUGAGACCAUGAACCGAGAAAACUUGGAAGCCUCUGGUCUGGACUGAAUGUGGAGUUGUGGUCUAUCUGAAUGUAGACUAUACCUGAUGGAUGUAACUCUUAUGGUGGAGAUGAGAUUGUUCUACUCUCUUUAAUGUUGAUAAACAACGGAUUCACACAACUAACUUCUCCUAGUUCCGGUUCCUCGGCACCAAAUUCAGGUUCCAUGUCAGCUUCCUUCAGGGGAAGGUUGCUCUGGUCUGAGAACUCUGGUGCUCAGCUACUUAGCACCUGUACCAUUAAUUAUAAAUUAAUAAGCAAGUACUUUUGUUAUAGUUAUAUUUCCCUCACAGCUUUCCUAAAUAAAGAGAAUGAACUUCUUGGAGGAUAUGAGAGCCAUAAAAAUUCCUCAUUAUAAAUUAACACUGUGGCAUUCUUUUUUUCUUUUCCUAAAGAUUGGCACCUAAGCUAACAACUGUUGCCUAUCUAUUUUUUUUUUCCUUUUCUGCUUUUUCUCCUCAAAUCCCCCCAGCACAUAGUUGCAUAUUUUACUUGUGGAUCCUACUAGUUGUGGCAUGUGGGAUGCUGCCUCAGCACAGCCUGAUAAGCGGUGCCAUGUCUGUGCCCAGGAUCCGAACCAACGAAAUCGCGGGGCGCUGAAGAGCCGUGCAUGAACUUAACCACUUGGCCACGGGUCCGGCCCCUGUGGCAUUCUGAUUAUACAUCAAUCUCAAGACAGUCCUGAAAGUCUAUGGCUGGUGGGAUGACAGAUAUUUCUGAGCUUGGAAGGCUGAGAAUCAGAUUCUGGUCCUUAGCAUUUCAAUAGGAUAAUGGUGCAAUUCUGUGAGGCUUCUUGGAAAACAACAGUCUAGCUUGCUCCAGGUGCUAUCUCCUGAUUUUUUUCCAUUUUAGCAUAAUCUGGAGCCAGACUACCUGGAUUCAAAUCUUGUCUCCACCACCAGCUAGUUGUGUCACCUUAGGUGAAUUACUCAACCUCUCGGCACUUCAGUUUUCUCAUCUAUAAAAUGUGGAUGAUCUCCCAGCAAUUCAGAGUGUGACUGCACAUGUAAAGACAUCUCCUUCACUAUCAGAAGCAUUUUGGGGCUGGACUAAGGAUCAUGGUGACUUAGCUUCGAAAGUAGCCCAUGAAUGGACUUUGUCAACAAUUAUAAAACAUUCCUGUCAACUGUGGGGAAGGGCUUUCUAUAGAAAGGAAAGGAGGAUGUGUGGUUUUAUAUUAAAAACAAAACAAAACAAAAAUAAAAUGGGGAUAAUGAUAACUACUUUAAAAGGUAGUUGUGGGGAUUAAGUGAAAUAAUACGUUUUAAGUUCCUAUAACAUGCCUGGCACAUCCUAAACCCUGAAUAAAUACUACUUCUUAUUUUUAUUGUUCUUGUUUUUAACAUUAUGAUUGCUAUUCUUGGUCAUGUGUGCCUUAUUUCUUUAAUUUUGCAAACUUUUACAUUAUCCAUGUCUACACUUAACAUUAAAAAUGAAAGCUGGAUGUUUCAUGAAAGUCCUGGCUUCAAUUCAAGUCUGGGAGUGUGGACAAGUCAGUAAUACCACACAUAUUCCAUUUGCUCAUCUAUAUUUGCAUGGUCCCCCACGGUUGGGGAGAGCCUUGUGGCUAGUUCUGGCCAAUUAAAUGUGAAUGAAAGUGAUGUGUGUCACUUCUAGGUGAGACUAUAAAAUGGGCUUUUUUAUGUGAUUUUCCAGUCUUCUCUUCCCCUGCCUCAGCAAAUAGGGAGAACUUGCUUUCCAGGAGGUGUAGCUAUGAGAUAGUGGUGCCUCUAUCAACCUGGAUCCCUUUAUAAAUUGGUAGAGUAGAGCCACCUGCCAACUUACUUUGGAUAUGCACUAUGAUCAAGAAAUAAAUACCUGAUUUGUUAAGCCACUGAGAUUUCCCAGUUUAGCUAUUCCACACGAUAAUCUAAACUAAUACAGUGGGUGUAAAUGACCACCAGGUACUUACUUCCUAAUCUUGAGCUAAUAUCAAGUGAAUAAAAUUAUAUUUAUAAAUACUUGCUGAAAAAACUGAAAGUAUAUGGGCCAGCCUGGUGGCUCAGCAGUUAAGUUCACAUGAUCUGCUUCAGUGGCCCAGGGUUCUCUGGUUCGGAUCCUGGGCACGGACCUACACACUACUCAUCAAGCCAUGCUGUGGCAGGCGUCCCACAUAUGAAGGUAGAGGAAGAUGGGCACGGGUGUCAAGUCAGGGCCAGUCUUCCUCAGCAAAAAGAGGAUUGGCAGCAGAUGUUAGCUCAGGGCUAAUCUUCCCCCCAAAAAACAUACACACAAAAAACUAAAAGUAUAGCAGACCCCGGUUCUGACUUAGGGUCUCUAGUGAAGUUGCAGACAGAUGUCUGCUGGGGUUCUGGUCAUCUGUUAAGAUCUACCAGUCUAGCUGUCUAGUAGAGCUCAUCAACACAAUGUAGUUGAUGCUGACUUUUACUGAUUUGGAGCUUUUGAC